rnacentral:rRNA from 1 species
AUUGAACGCUGGCGGCAUGCCUUACACAUGCAAGUCGAACGGUAACGCGGGGCAACCUGGCGACGAGUGGCGAACGGGUGAGUAAAGUAUCGGAACGUGCCCAAUAGUGGGGGAUAGCCCGGCGAAAGCCGGAUUAAUACCGCAUGAGACCUGAGGGUGAAAGCGGGGGACUCGCAAGAGCCUCGCGCUGUUGGAGCGGCCGAUAUCAGAUUAGGUAGUUGGUGGGGUAAAAGCCUACCAAGCCGACGAUCUGUAGCUGGUCUGAGAGGACGACCAGCCACACUGGGACUGAGACACGGCCCAGACUCCUACGGGAGGCAGCAGUGGGGAAUUUUGGACAAUGGGCGCAAGCCUGAUCC